rnacentral:lncRNA from 1 species
CAAUUCAAUUUAUAUUUAGUCGAUUAGGCUUAAACUCCAAAAGAUCAAUUGUGAGCCCAAAUUUAAUUUUAAGACCCAAUUUCAAUUAUAUCAUAAUUUUGAUGAAUUAAAUGAAGAAUACAAAAAAAUCAACAAAAUUAAAGAAAAUGAGACUGAGAUGGUGGUGUCGUGCACGAUGCCAUCCUACUAGCCACUCUACCUAUCACCUGCCAGCUACCUCACCAACCCCCUGCCAACCACCUUGCCAAUCUCUCUUCCCCUGCUAGCUACCUCAUUUCCCUUGUCUCUAUGAUUUGCUAUUCUCCCUGUUGUCCCUUACUGCUUGCCCUUGUUUUAUAAAUUCCACCAUGGAGGGAGAGCAAAAGACUGUUAAAAAAAUUCUCAUGAACCACCCAUUCUUUAUGCUUGAGCACCAUCCUCUACCAUUAAACCUCCACCGUAACUACUCCACGACACAUGCAACCAAUUGGUAGCAAUCACAACCCCUUACCAAAACUGUUUCAUGGCCAAUCCACCUAAGUAACCCAAGUUUUCUUUCUCUUAUUGUCAUUACCACCACAAAGUCUAAAACACACUAGCAACUAAGGUAUAAUCCUUUGCCCAAAACCCACUAAAACCAACCAUCAAAACCUAUGCCUAAAUCUUUCACUCUUAUCUAAUCCAUUAUUUCUUUUUCGAGAAUAAAAAAAAGGCAUAAGAAAAAGAAAAAAAAUCCAUAGUUCUCUUUUCAAGGUGUAACCUUAGUCAAAGACCAAAAAAAAAAAAAAAAAAGGCAACAACAAAGAACUUAAAAAUAAAUAGAAGAAAGGUUUUGAUCUAAAAGGAGGUUUUGGGUGUUCAAAUUUCACAAGGACGGAGAUUAAAGAUUAGGGAUGAACAUACUAAGAGUAGGGGCCCGUAAGGGUGGCAAAACUCAAGAUUUUAAGGUGUUUUGAUCACAGCUUUAAAGGUAGAUCUAAGGCUUUAUGGGGCGAUUUAGGAAAAUUUGAGGUUAGGAUGGCAAUGAGGUGAUCGAGACGAAGCUACUAUGAAUAUUUGGACUAAAAAUGAAAUUGGUAGAUAGUGGUGGGUGGCGAUGACUGGCAUGAUAAGAAAUUGAAUUUAAGGGUGGUGCUUUAUUUAUUCUAAAGGGAAUGAGAAUUUUUUUUUAGGAAGAGAUCAAAUGAAUUAAGAAAAAGGUUUGACAUUUAUAGUAUAAAAAAGAAAAAGAAAAAUAGGAGUAGAGCCCAGACCCGACCUGCCAACUGACCCAACUAUAAUUGCUUAACCCGACUUGAUUCAAGUCUGACCCAAAAGUCUACCUUGGGCCAUUUGACUUUCUCUUAAGCUUCAAUUCAAAGUCCAAAUGAGAUAUUUUAUUUUCUAUAAACUUUGGGUUUGUG